rnacentral:rRNA from 1 species
UCGAGAAUUUUUCACAAUGGGGGAAACCCUGAUGGAGCGACGCCGCGUGGGGGAUGAAUGGCUUCGGCCCGUAAACCCCUGUCAUCUGGGAACAAUGUGCACUGUUUAAGAGAUGGUGUAUUGAUAGUACCGGAAGAGGAAGGGACGGCUAACUCUGUGCCAGCAGCCGCGGUAAUACAGAGGUCCCAAGCGUUGUUCGGAUUCACUGGGCGUAAAGGGUGCGUAGGUGGUCGGGUAAGUCCGAUGUGAAAUCUCCAGGCUCAACCUGGAAAUGGCAUUGGAUACUAUUUGGCUUGAGGAGUGGAGGGGGGACUGGAAUUCUCGGUGUAGCAGUGAAAUGCGUAGAUAUCGAGAGGAACACCAGUGGCGAAGGCGAGUCCCUGGACACUUCCUGACACUGAGGCACGAAAGCUAGGGGAGCAAACAGGAUUAGAUACCCCCGUAGUCC